GUGUCAGCAGCCGCGGUAAUACAGAGGUCCCGAGCGUUGUUCGGAUUUAUUGGGCGUAAAGGGUGCGUAGGCGGCGGAGUAAGUUGGGUGUGAAAUCCCGGGGCUCAACCUCGGAAUUGCAUUCAAUACUGCUUCGCUCGAGUACUGGAGAGGAGGCUGGAAUUUACGGUGUAGCAGUGAAAUGCGUAGAUAUCGUAAGGAAGGCCGGUGGCGAAAGCGAGCCUCUGGACAGUUACUGACGCUGAUGCACGAAGGCCAGGGGAGCAAACGGGAUUAGAAACCCGAGUAGUCC
rnacentral:rRNA from 1 species